GCGCGCGCAGGCGGCGGCGCGUCCAGCCGCCGGCGGAGCUCAAGACCUCCGGAUCGUGGUGGGCGGCGGAUUUCGAGCGCAGGGGACGGCGACCUUGAGCGGUGGGUUCAAUCGCACCUCGCGAUUGUCGGCGUCCUUACAGCGCCAUACGAGACAGUGCAGAGGAGGCGGGUGACGACGGUGGUCGAAGCCGCUGGGAUGGAGACGGGUGGAGGUGGUGCUGCAGCAACGCAAAGGGGGCGGCCGCGAACAUGGGAAGUCGCCGACGAACGCGGACUACGGCAAGGGUCCCAUGGCGGCGGCAGGUGGGCGGGCUUGGCGAGCGGUAGGAGCGGAAGAAUGUCUGGUGGUGGGGGCAGGCUGACCGGUGCCGGUCGCGCUCCCUCAGCCAUGCCCUCACUCGUCGUCGUCCUGGUCGCCUCUUCCCCAACCAUAAUCGACUGGCAGAGCAAGGUUUAUUUCACAUGUGUCUCCAGGAUAUCGAUUCAUGGCGAGGCUAAUCCUAGACAGUAAAAGAUGGGAACCAAGAAUGCUUGUAGAAUGAAUUCCUGGGCAUCAUCAAAAGGAUGCGUGCAAUGGCCUGCUGUAAUAUCAAAUUUGGUGUUGAAAAUGGCGUCGAUUUCUAUGAUGUUUCGUUCGUGAAGGAUGCCAAUGUUAUGCAUGAAUUCAAAGAUUACCUCAAAGGUGGCAUGUGCUGUGGAAUCAAGCAGAUGGGAUGGUGUGUAGCGGAAGGCGGCCUCCGUUGUUGGACACAGCUGCCUACCGAAUGACCAUCAGCACCUACGAGCUCGCUUCAGCCAGAGAUCCUGCAACUGAGUUUAAGAGAAUGAUUGGCAAAGGUGGAGGAGCUCAUGAAGACUAUACAUAAUUCUCACUGUCUUUAUCAAGUAACCGAUCCAAAAAAUCCAGAUGCACACUUCAAAUGGGACCUGAGAUAUAGAAGAACACAGUAGGCAGCUGUUGGUUCAGCAGGCAGACUGGCAGGUGUUGGGAUGCACCUGUGGAUGAAAAAUUCAUCCGUGGAGAUAGUGUCCAUGGAACCUUCAGAGAGAGUUGUAAUUUUAGAGUUGCUGAAGGAGGCCCUAUCAUCGACCAGUCGAAUGGCUGUCGAGCAUUAUGUUGGAAAUUCUUCAAAGAUUACGAUAUACUUUGUGAGGCAAUGGGUUGCUAUAAAUUUGACCUUCUCAUUAUGGUGUUCAUGUCAUGUGGACAAAUAGAUUGUAUGGACGGAAGAAGGCGCAGAACAGGGCAGGCCAGCCUUCUCUUAUCCAGAUUUUCGAGGGAAGCAUCCUUCCAUGACAAUGGCUAAAUCAUGUGUUUCUUUCGUCCAUUGAAAGGCAUGGCAGGUUACAUCAUGUUCGCCGGCAUCGAUGCUGACGGGUAGCUCCGCAAGGUGAUGUAAUUUCUAUCUGAAUUCAGGUUUAAGCUCAUGAGAGUGCACAUACCUUAUUCUGAUGCUCAUGAGAGUAGCUCACUGGUGCAGAAAUAUGGUUUAUACUUUGAAGAGUGUUAAAACCUUGCAUCAUUUGCCAUUUUGCCUUCUUUUUAGUCUUUACAAGAAAAUAAGGUCCUCCCCUCUUUACAAUUUAGAUAGAAGCCAAUAUUAAACCACUCUUGAAAUCUUAAGCGUUAUUCGAUCGAACUUAUCAA